CCAAACUUGGUCAUUUAGAGGAAGUAAAAGUCGUAACAAGGUUUCCGUAGGUGGUAAGUUUAUCAAUCUUUCGUCCAAUACUACUUGAGUCUUUAACUAACAUUUUCUCUAGAACCUGCGGAAGGAUCAUUACAGAGUUAGGGUCUUCUAGGCCCGACCUCCCAACCCUUUGUUUAACAAACCUCAUGUUGCUUCGGCGGACCCGUCUUAACCGACCGCCGGAGGAUCGUCGCAAGACGUCCUCUGGCCCGCGUCCGCCGGUGGCCUCUUAUCUAAAUUCUGAAAUGAAUCGUGUCUUUUUUCUAAGUCAUAUCAAAAAAUUAAAAAGCAAAACUUUCAACAACGGAUCUCUUGGUUCUGGCAUCGAUGAAGAACGCAGC
rnacentral:misc_RNA from 1 species